rnacentral:rRNA from 1 species
GGUGAACGCUGGCGGCGUGCCUAAGACAUGCAAGUCGAGCGGGGCAGGUUUAUACCUGUUCAGCGGCGGACGGGUGAGUACCGCGUGGGUGACCUACCCGGAAGAGGCGGACAACCUGGGGAAACCCAGGCUAAUCCGCCAUGUGGUCCUGUCCUGUGGGGCAGGACUAAAGGGUGGAUAGCCCGCUUCCGGCUGGGCCCGCGUCCCGUCAGCUAGUUGGUGGGGUAAAGGCCCACCAAGGCGACGACGGGUAGCCGGUCUGAGAGGAUGGCCGGCCACAGGGGCACGGAGAAGCUGGCGCCACUCCUGCGGGAGGCAGCAGUGAGGAAUGCUCCGCAAUGGCCGGACGUCUGACGGCGCGACGCGGCUGCGAGGAGGAAGCCCGUCGGGGUGUAAACUCAUGAACUGGGGACGAAAGCCCUGUGUAGGGGGAUGACGGUACCCAGGUAAUAGCGCCGGCCAACUCCGUG